rnacentral:piRNA from 1 species
UGUCAACUUACCCUUUGACCACGAAACCC